UGGGGAAUAUUGGACAAUGGGCGAAAGCCUGAUCCAGCAAUGCCGCGUGAGUGAUGAAGGCCUUAGGGUUGUAAAGCUCUUUUUACCAGGGAUGAUAAUGACAGUACCUGGAGAAUAAGCUCCGGCUAACUCCGUGCCAGCAGCCGCGGUAAUACGGAGGGAGCUAGCGUUGUUCGGAUUUACUGGGCGUAAAGGGCGCGUAGGCGGCAAUUCAAGUCAUCUGUGAAAUCUCCGGGCUUAACUCGGAACGGUCAGAUGAUACUGCUUUGCUAGAGUGCAGAAGGGGCAAUCGGAAUUCUUGGUGUAGCGGUGAAAUGCGUAGAUAUCAAGAGGAACACCUGAGGUGAAGACGGGUUGCUGGGCUGACACUGACGCUGAGGCGCGAAAGCCAGGGGAGCAAACGGGAUUAGAUACCCAUGUAGUCCCUGAGCGGGCUGGCAAGGCGCAU
rnacentral:rRNA from 1 species